rnacentral:rRNA from 1 species
CCUACGGGUGACAGCAGUCGAGAAUCAUUCACAAUGGGGGAAACCCUGAUGGUGCGACGCCGCGUGGGGGAAUGAAGGUCUUCGGAUUGUAAACCCCUGUCAUGUGGGAGCAAAUUAAAAAGAUAGUACCACAAGAGGAAGAGACGGCUAACUCUGUGCCAGCAGCCGCGGUAAUACAGAGGUCUCAAGCGUUGUUCGGAAUCACUGGGCGUAAAGCGUGCGUAGGCUGUUUCGUAAGUCGUGUGUGAAAGGCGCGGGCUCAACCCGCGGACGGCACAUGAUACUGCGAGACUAGAGUAAGGGAGGGGGAACCGGAAUUCGCGGUGUAGCAGUGAAAUGCGUAGAUAUCGAGAGGAACACUCGUGGCGAAGGCGGGUUCCUGGACAUUAACUGACGCUGAGGCACGAAGGCCAGGGGAGCGAAAGGGAUUAGAUACCCCUGUAGUC